ensembl:lncRNA
GAGAGAGAGAGGGUAAAGAGACUGGGGCAGAUAAAAAAAGGGAUAGAUGGGAAAACAGCAGACCAGGGCUGUAUUUAUUGGGGGUGUGAGUGGCGCGCUGUAGGCUGUGGGAUGGUAGGCAGAGUGUAAGGUGUUGCUGUUAGGUGUGGUGGGGUUUCCAGAAAUGGAAGAGCAUGCAUAGAGAAAAAAAAAAAAAAGAGGGAGAGAUGGAAGGAUUGGUCAUGCGCAAGGGCAUCGGUAAUUAUCGGUGAGGUCUUAGUGACUGCAAAUGAAAUUACCAUUUAAGAGAGAGGGAGAAAGAGACAUCCCCUUUGCCAUAGGAGAGGGCUUAAGUGAGGCGGCUAGGGUUUCAGCUAUUGAUUUUUAAACUGCUACAUCAGAGAGUGUAAUGCUUUCAUAAUUUCAAAUAAACUGUCUGGUUACGAAGUACUAAUGAGAGAAAGAGUGAGAGCAGACCAAACUAAAUAAGUGAGCGAUGGGGGUUGAAUUUUAAGUGUUGACGUGCAUUCGGGGAGUUUAAGAUAAUUGCACUGGUCGGACCAAAUGAUCAAUGUGUCAACGAUCCUGCAGCAACUGGUAGUUUUACUUUUUCUUUUUGAUAACCAGUGCGAUAAUUAGCGAUGGCGUUUUUCUUUGUUUGUUUCACCGGGAUUGAAACGGGGGCCAUGAAACUUUUUCCUUUACAAUCCAAAAAACCCUCCAAAAUAUUGUGAAUUCAUCCUAAAUAUGUAGUGCGUCGUGAUUUUAUUUCCCACAAACACCGUCAUUCAGCUGGAAAAAUAUAUUCCUCUGAAAAUAUCCAAUUUUCCAGCCCACUUUAAAAAAAAAAGGGGGCGAGGUGUUCACUCUUUCUCACGGACAUAACUCACAAAUUCCGAAGAAAUUUAAAAUGUGCGAUGAGUGAAAUUAUAUUUUUGUCCAAAGGUAAUGACAGUUUUUCUACUGAUAGAAUACAGCAAGAUAAUAAAGAUGAGGGAUGGAGACAGGAAGAUGGAUUUUUGGAUGACACUCAUGAACCCAAAUCUCUCUCUCUCUCUCUCUCUCUCUCUCUCUCUCUACUUCUCACCACAGACCGCAGGCCGUUGGAGGCAGCUUAGAAAUCUCUUACAUCUGGAAGAGCCAUAAUUCACGGGAUUUGGCCCAACAGCCGUGACAGGCAUUGGGGCGGCCAGCAGCAACUGUCUCCCGUGUUAGCGGCGAGUGUGUGAGAGGGAGACGGCGAGUGAGAGACAAAGAGUGACAAAUACACAGCGUGCGUCCACUUGGACCUGCAUGUGUGCGCAGUAACCGGGUAUGUUACGAAAGUACGGCACCGCGCGUUAAGCUACUUCCUGCAAGACCGGUAGUCCACGACACUUAUUACAUUAUUUCACAGCUGUUGUUACUUUGUGGAUCAACACAUAGCGUGUCGCAUUACUAUAUUUGAUGUGAUGUCAGUCAGCAUCAUCGACACACACGUAACAAUGCAUCAAUCAUUUUGAUCCAAUAACAAAAAUCUAACAAUAGUGUGUAACAACAUUAGACUUGAAAAGGGGACCAUUUGGCAUCGUUUGUAUUUUUUAUACCUUUGUUUUAUUUUUCCUUAUUCAACAUACUGCAUAUUUUACUUGAGCAAAAGUUCUAGACAUUUCUUCUACCAGAUGUCGUACAAACUCUCACUAAAUUGUGCAAUCCGUGAGAAGAAAAAAGAAAAGGUUUUUCUGAGACGUGUAAUAAAAAAAAAAAGAAAUCCACAAUGUUGUCCAUGUAUCCGGCAAUGUGCACAAACGAUUAUACACUUUCGCACACACGUAUGCACACACACACACUCAUCCGAAAGACAUGCGGCAGAAACAAAGCAGCGGCGCCCGUGUGUUUCAUGGCGUGCCAGAGGCUGCCUGCGUCGGCCCUAAAUAUUACACACAGACAGUAGCUAUCACUUCCAAGCCUGAAAUCCCACAUUCCACAUUCCUGAUUCCAGCGGCUCGCCUGCUAAGCUGGGCACCACAUGAAGAGCCAUUGUUAGAGAGAGACGGGUCAUGUGUCUCUCUCGCUCUGUGUCUGUCUGUCUGUCUGUCUGUCUGUCCCGGCCCUCCUCCUCCUCCUCCUCCUCUCGCUCGCUGUCAUAUAGUCUCCGUCUGUGACUCUCUGGCUGCGUCUGUCUAUCCGUUCCUCCCUCUGUCGUUUUAUCGCUCUUAUUCCUUCUGUCCCUCACUCCGCUUUGUUUAGUUCAUUCCGUGCCCUUCUCAGCCUCCCGUUUCCCACUUACUUUUCUUUCUGCUGCCCCCCCCCUCUUCUCUGUCUCUCCUUCCCUCUCUUUCAGUCUCCAGAUAUUCAUGUAGAGAUUUUCUCACAUGUUAGAUAUAGAUUUACGACCCCAGCCAGAUCCCUGUAGCCACUAAAUUUGAUACCAUGCACUAAGCCGCAUUGUCUUUUAUGUGUGCUUGGGCUCGUCUGUUUGUGUGCAACUGUGGGCUGCUAUGUAUGUGUGUGUCUGUGUGUUCAUGCAUUACAAGGUGGAGGCGGUUGACUUUUAAAGGGUUAGCUUGGCUGUGGUGGGCACAGAGGUAGAAUUUACAGUUUAUUGAAGCACGGAAGGCAGGUUUGCAGAUGCGUGUUCACGUGUUUGAGAGAGAGAGAGAGAGCCUGUGGGUGCCAGGUGACCAGGCUAACCUCUUGGCUGGUGUUUUGGAUUUAGGAUAGGACUUUGGAUAGCGGUGAGAAAUAAAAGGAAAAGGAAUGCUUUUUCAAUUACAGAUCAGAACAAAGGCAAGAGCGAAAGGAAAGAUGAGUUAUUGGCUUCUCACAUAUCGCGGUUUUUUUUCAGACAGGCGCAUUCUUACAAUCUGAUCUUGAUUUUGACUUUCAGAACAUUUUGUACUUGAGUCCAUCAUUCUGUUCGGCUGUUAUAAUUAUUCAUGUCGUCUGUCAUGAAGAUUUGUAUGAAGCAGAAGAAGUGUGAGAAGCAUGAAAAAUGCAUGCCGCAUGUUUUCGGUGCAACUUGUCUAACGACGUGAGCUCCUCGCGCAUUUUGACAUCACACUAUUGAGCUGUAUCUGCGAGCGCUAAAAUGCACACAGAAGUGGGUGCAAAAAUAGAACAUGGAAAGGAUGGAGUGUGAAGACAAAGCAGACAAACACCUGUGGAAGACCGUCGCCGCGCAUGUUACUAAUUCUGACAGUAGUCAGUUCAAAGGCACUCGUCCUCUGCCAUGCAUAUUUUAUUGGCUGGAGGUGGUUUUUGUUGUGUAUUCAUAUCGGUUUUUCGUUUCUUCAACAUUCCACAAGUUGUCAAGAGUGGGGGGGAGUUUUUUUUUGUUGAAAAACGCAUCGUGGAGUACUGAGGAUUGUAUUAUUGUUGUUUGUCUGUGUGAUGUGAGAUGCUAUUCGCCUUUUGAUAUUUCGUAAGUGAAAUGAGAGCUGAAGGUGUGUUUGUUGCAGAUGCUUGAGUGUGCAUGUACUGUUGUUACCUCAAACAGUUUAUCCGUCAGUCAGACAGUAUGUGCACAUUUCCUAGCGCUCGUGCAUGUGUUUGCAUGCAGGUAUUGCAUCCAAGUGUGCGCGUGUGUGUGUGUGUGUCCGCAUCCACACAUCUAAAAGCCAUAUCUGGCUUCAGAUCAAAUGGUGUAUGAAGAAGGGGAAUGACAGACAGAGAAAGUGAUGGCUCUUUAAUGUUGCCUAUCCACUCCCGAACCCAAAUAUAAGACCAACACACGGAAUAGACGUGUUUUAAGCAAAAAGGAGUGACAUGAAACACUUAUGUAGAAAAGCUCUGAACAUGACGUCGGCUUUGAGGUGGAGGAGAAAAUGUCUUGCCAAACACAAAGAAAAAGGGUAAAUUGGAUGGAAGGAAGAGAGAAAAGGCAGGGGCACAAAAUGAAACAGUGACAUGCACUUUAUUCUUUGUUUGUGCGCGUCAAGGUACAGCGAUACUUUGUUUUUAGCUGAAUGGCGAAUGUUUUAUCCAGCUCACCUUUUUUUCUUUCUUUCUAAAGCGUCUAAACCUUCACUAUCAUCACUGUCUUGUUGUGUAAUGAAUGUGUUAUUAUGAUGACUGCAUUCAAAUCAAUACACUUUUGUUGAUUCCUUUUUUUUCACCAAAAUGACUGUAUUAUUGUUACGUAAUAGAUUCCUAAUUGUAUGCUUGACUGGAAUUACCUUGUUGGAAGAAUAAAAACAAACUUAAAUUUU